rnacentral:rRNA from 1 species
UACGUAGGGGGCUAGCGUUGUCCGGAAUCAUUGGGCGUAAAGCGCGUGUAGGCGGCCCGGUAAGUCCGCUGUGAAAGUCGGGGGCUCAACCCUCGGAUGCCGGUGGAUACUGUCGGGCUCGAGUACGGAAGAGGCGAGUGGAAUUCCUGGUGUAGCGGUGGAAUGCGCAGAUAUCAGGAGGAACACCAAUAGCGAAGGCAGCUCGCUGGGACGUUACUGACACUGAGGCGCGAAAGCGUGGGGAGCGAACAGG